rnacentral:rRNA from 1 species
UAAGCGGAGGAAAAGAAACUAACAAGGAUUCCCCUAGUAACGGCGAGUGAAGCGGGAAGAGCUCAAAUUUGUAAUCUGGUACUUUCAGUGCCCGAGUUGUAAUCUCGAGAAGUGUUUUCCGCGCCGGACCGCAUACAAGUCUGUUGGAAUACAGCGUCAUAGUGGUGAGAACCCCGUAACUGAUGCGGACGCCCGGUGCUUUGUGAUACACUUUCGAAGAGUCGAGUUGUUUGGGAAUGCAGCUCAAAUUGGGUGGUAAAUUCCAUCUAAAGCUAAAUAUUGGCGAGAGACCGAUAGCGAACAAGUACCGUGAGGGAAAGAUGAAAAGCACUUUGGAAAGAGAGUUAACAGUACGUGAAAUUGUUGGAAGGGAAACGCUUGAAGUCAGACUUGCUAUUUGGAGUUCAGCCGCAAGGUGUAUUCUUCAAUUUGCAGGCCAGCAUCAGUUUUUGGGGGUGGAAAAGGGUAUUGAGAAGGUAGCAGUUUCGGCUGUGUUAUAGCUCUUUACUGGAUUCAUCCUUGGGGACUGAGGAAUGCAGCGCGCUUUUUGCAAGGCUCUCGGGCUUUUCGCGCUUAGGAUGCUGGUAGAAUGGCUUUAAACGACCCGUC